GCUCUUCCGAUCUCUCCUGUUGGCCGUAUUGAUUGCGAUUGUCAACGGUAUCUUUGUCAGAAGCGUCUUCCAGUUCGUCCAUCUAUACUUUAAUGUUUCGCCCGUUCGCGUUUGACAUGUUUAGAAAUGCUCUUUAGUCUCGAAAGAGUAAACAAAAUUAUAAUUUUGAUAUUAUAGAAAGCGCACUAGAGAGAUAAAGAGAGUGAAAGAUGGAGCACUUCUGCAACUAGCCGUCUUGGUUGUUAUUGCAUGUAACCUGUUGAUCAGACUUUCACGUUAGAGGAUUCAAGUAACCUAAUAUUUUUAUGGAUGCGGAAAUUCCGUACCGCAUUUUUGUAUAUUUUCAUAUUUCAUCGUCGCAUUGUAUUUUUAAUUCUUUCGCCUCCGAUGUCUUGCUUCAGACGGAAAUUUAAAUUUAUCGGUGUACUUAACCAUUGAAGAACGGAGAACCAUUUUUGCUUUCGGAAACUUCGAGGCUUGAAAUAUUUAUAGACAGGUCGAAGAGUUUCAUUUAGCGAGCGAGAGCGUAUGCCAAGUAGAUUUAAAUAUUACACAGUUUUCUGAAUUGUUUUUAGCCUUCUGGCGUAGUAGAAACAUCUGGUACGGCACGGUUAAACGUUCAAGCCCACGCAAAUGUUUCGAAGAAUUGGGAGGGGAAUAAAGCAGUUUUGUAUACUCCAAAAAGAAUUGGUCAUGCUCGCAUUUAUAAAGAACCAUUCCUCUACUUUGACAAAGCCGUUUUUGCCCAGUAGAUGCACAGCUAUUCGAUCAUUUACUGAUAGAGAUCGCCGAAAGAAUUUUUGUUUUACUGGUUUAUUUUACCUUCUUUCAGGAUUAGGCACAUGUUUUACUUUUUAAAAGACGAUGGCUAAGAUAUGAUGAAACGUUACUCUGACUCUCUCUCUCUCUCUUUCUCUUCGCUAGCAUCUGACAGCUGUGACUGCGGUCAAACGAAAAGAAAACACCCUCCACUGCAUUGCAGGAAGUUCAGCUAGAAGACUAGCAGUAUACAGAUGGUGAUUAAUGACUGUACACACACACACACAGCUAUCUGCUCGGUAAUAGCAGCUCGUAUUCUGGCGACAGAAAUUACUGUUCACAAGAGCGGUUAGAUCAUCCCAACUGUAAUCUUGGUAUCAGCAAAGUGGUAAAGUUGCUGGUUUUCCACUGCUCUACCAAAUAAACGAUGCUAUUCGACGUUAUAAGCUUCCAUUUCGUGACAUUUGCCCAGUUAUGUUAUCAAUACUAUAAUUCAAUGACAAUACUAAAAGAUCAUUCUUUUACUGGAUGAUAUCCUAUACAAAAGGGUUUUUAAUUUGGACUUAUAGCAGCUUAUCUAGAUGAUUCAU
rnacentral:lncRNA from 1 species